AUGCAUUUCAGGGUACAUCUGGUUUCCCAGGUGCUAGAGGCCUGCCUGGUCCCCCUGGUAAUAAUGGCAAUCCAGGGCCACCUGGUAAUGUUGGAGCUCCUGGAAAGGAUGGUGGUCCUGGUCCAGCGGGUAGCACUGGUCCGGCUGGUAGCCCUGGAGGUGCUGGUCCUAAAGGUGAGCCUGGCCAACCAGGUGAAAGAGGUUCACCAGGUUCACAAGGAGCAGUGGUAAGUAAAUUAUUUAGCCGUGUUCAUUAAACCUGUGAAUAGGAAUUUAAUAAGUAUGUCAUAAACAGAAGAUAAUGAUUCAAAGCCAUGUUUUAACUGAGUACCUAACACUUAUUUAUUUAAAAUAUUGUUGACAGGGUCCACCAGGUCCGCCAGGCUCCUCAGGUAUAGCUGGUCAACGUGGUACUGUGGGACUGCCAGGCCGUCCUGGCAGUUCAGGUGCUCCUGGCGAACCUGGCCCAAAGGUAAAUGAAGGCUUAUUGACGUAAUUUACCCUCAAAGAUAAUGCAGCUGACAUCAUGCAGUAAAUAUCUAAUAGAGCUUCAGCCUUUCACAGAAUCACAGAAAUGUAGAGCUGGAAGGCACCUUGAGAUGUUUUCAACUCCAACCCCCUGUUCUGAGGCGGGACCAAGUAAACCUAGACCAUCCCUGACAAGUGUUUAUCUAAUUUGUUCUUAAAAAACCUCCAAUGAUGGGGAUUCCACAAUAAUCCUUGGAAGCCUAUUUCAGAGCUUAAUUACCCUUAUAAUUAGCAAGUUUUUCCUAAUAUUUAACCUACAUCUCCCUUGCUGCAGAUUAAGACCAUUACUUUUUGUCCUACCUCCACUGGACAUAGAGAACAUUGAUCACAGUCUUCUUUAUAACAGCCCUUAACAUAUUUGAAGAUUGCUGUGAGGUCCCCCUUCAGUCUUGUUUUCUCAAGACUAAAGAUGCCAGGUCAAGACUAAAGAUGCCAGGUUUUUUUUAACCUUUCUUCAUAGGUCAAGUUUUCUAAACCUUUUAUUAUUUUUGUGGCUCUUUUCUGGACUCUCACCAAUUUGUCCACAUAUCUCCUAAUGAGUGGCCCCUAGAAUUAGACAUAGUUUAAUGACAAUCCUGAAUUCCACAUGUAAUGAAUGUGACAAACUUUCUUGAUAAUAGGCCAAAUCCUGAAGUCCUUAUAUGGUUUGGAUUUAGGCAAAUUCCAACUGAUGUCAAAGCUGAGUGAAAAUUGAGUAGGGACU
rnacentral:lncRNA from 1 species